rnacentral:pre_miRNA from 1 species
AUCUUACUCCCUCCGUUCGGAAUUACUUGUCACAAAAAUGGAUAAAAAUGGAUGUAUCUACAACUAAAAUACAUCUAGAUACAUUCAUUUCUUGGACGAGUAAUUCCGAACGGAGGGAAUACAUA